CGAAGAUGUUACCCAUCGUUACAAUCCACCAGGUUUGUUGCAAAUCUUGUUGUUCUUUUCUAGAUUUGAUAAUAGUUGAUUUCUUCCUUAUGAUGGUUGUGGUGAUGAUGAAGGUGAGAUGGAUUGUAAAAAUGGUGGAAAUUUUGGGGGCAAAAGAAAGAUAAUUGGAAUGGUAGUGGUGUUGACAACGUGACCGUAGUGUUUGUUGAAUGGGAAAUCAUAAGUGGACUUGUUAGGUGUAUG
rnacentral:lncRNA from 1 species